rnacentral:piRNA from 1 species
UUGGAACCAGAAGCAGUAUGAGUGGCUUUC